rnacentral:rRNA from 1 species
AUUGAACGCUGGCGGCAGGCUUAACACAUGCAAGUCGAGCGGUAGCACAGGGGAGCUUGCUCCCUGGGUGACGAGCGGCGGACGGGUGAGUAAUGUCUGGGAAACUGCCUGAUGGAGGGGGAUAACUACUGGAAACGGUAGCUAAUACCGCAUAACGUCGCAAGACCAAAGAGGGGGACCUUCGGGCCUCUUGCCAUCAGAUGUGCCCAGAUGGAUUAGCUAGUAGGUGGGGUAAUGGCUCACCUAGGCGACGAUCCCUAGCUGGUCUGAGAGGAUGACCAGCCACACUGGAACUGAGACACGGUCCAGACUCCUACGGGAGGCAGCAGUGGGGAAUAUUGCACAAUGGGCGCAAGCCUGAUGCAGCCAUGCCGCGUGUGUGAAGAAGGCCUUCGGGUUGUAAAGCACUUUCAGCGAGGAGGAAGGUGGUGAGCUUAAUACGUUCAUCAAUUGACGUUACUCGCAGAAGAAGCACCGGCUAACUCCGUG